rnacentral:rRNA from 1 species
CAGUCGCCGCGGUAAUGCGAGGGGGGCAAGCGUCGUUCGGAAUUAUUGGGCGUAAAGGGUGCGUAGGCGGCCCCGCAAGUCUCAUGUGAAAUCUUCAGGCUCAACUUGAAGUCUGCAUGGGAAACUGCGGGGCUGGAGUAUGGGAGAGGUGAGUGGAAUUCCCGGUGUAGCGGUGAAAUGCGUAGAUAUCAGGAGGAACACCUGUGGCGAAAGCGGCUCACUGGACCAUAACUGACGCUGAGGCACGAAAGCUAGGGGAGCAAACAGGAUUAGAUACCCCCGUAGUCCCUGUCUCUUAUAC